UAUGGAGGAUGCGAGCGUUAUCCGGAUUUAUUGGGUUUAAAGGGUGCGUAGGCGGACGCUUAAGUCAGCGGUAAAAUUGCGGGGCUCAACCUCGUCGAGCCGUUGAAACUGGGUGCCUUGAGUGGGCGAGAAGUACGCGGAAUGCGUGGUGUAGCGGUGAAAUGCAUAGAUAUCACGCAGAACUCCGAUUGCGAAGGCAGCGUACCGGCGCCCUACUGACGCUGAAGCACGAAGGCGUGGGUAUCGAACAGG
rnacentral:rRNA from 1 species